rnacentral:rRNA from 1 species
UACGGAGGGUGCAAGCGUUAUCCGGAUUCACUGGGUUUAAAGGGUGCGUAGGCGGACAGGUAAGUCAGUGGUGAAAUCUCUGGGCUUAACUCAGAAACUGCCGUUGAUACUAUUUGUCUUGAAUAUCUUGGAGGUAAGCGGAAUAUGUCAUGUAGCGGUGAAAUGCUUAGAUAUGACACAGAACACCAAUUGCGAAGGCAGCUCGCUAAACUGUAACUGACGCUGAGGCACGAAAGCGUGGGGAUCAAACAGG